CGUGCCCGGCUCUAUACAUGCAGUCGAACGAGGUGCUUUUGUAGCAAUACGGAAGUAUCCUAGUGGCGAACGGGUGAGUAACGCGUUGGUGACCUACCCCGAAGUGUGGGAUAACAGUCCGAAAGGAUUGCUAAUACCGCAUGUGGUCCCCGGGUUUAGAAACCGGUGACUAAAGCAGCAAUGCGCUUUGGGAGGGACCUGCGUCCCAUCAGCUAGUUGGUGAGGUAACGGCUCACCAAGGCGUCGACGGGUAAGGGACCUGAGAGGGUGGUCCCUCACAAUGGCACUGAAACACGGGCCAUACACCUACGGGUGGCAGCAGUAGGGAAUAUUGGGCAAUGGGCGAAAGCCUGACCCAGCAACGCCGCGUGUACGAUGAAGGCCUUCGGGUCGUAAAGUACUUUUCUGGGAGAUGAGAAAGGACAGUAUCCCAGGAAUAAGCUUCGGCUAACUACGUGCCAGCAGCCGCGGUAAAACGUAGGAAGCGAGCGUUAUCCGGAUUUACUGGGCGUAAAGCGCGUGUAGGCGGUUUGAUAAGUUGGAUGUGAAAUCUCCUGGCUCAACUGGGAGGGGUCGCUCAAAACUAUCAGACUAGAGGACAGUAGAGGAAGGUGGAAUUCCCGGUGUAGUGGUGAAAUGCGUAGAUAUCGGGAGGAACACCAGUGGCGAAAGCGGCCUUCUGGACUGUAUCUGACGCUCAGACGCGAAAGCUAGGGGAGCGAACGGGAUUAGAGACCCCGGUAGUCCUAGCUGUAAACGAUGUAGACUUGGCGUCGGUGGGUUCAAAGCCAUCGGUGCCGAAGCUAACGCGAUAAGUCUACCGCCUGGGGACUACGGCCGCAAGGUUAAAACUCAAAGGAAUUGACGG
rnacentral:rRNA from 1 species